UGGGGAAUAUUGCACAAUGGGGGAAACCCUGAUGCAGCGACGCCGCGUGAGUGAAGAAGUAUUUCGGUAUGUAAAGCUCUAUCAGCAGGGAAGAAAGUGACGGUACCUGAAUAAGAAGCCCCGGCUAACUACGUGCCAGCAGCCGCGGUAAUACGUAGGGGGCAAGCGUUAUCCGGAUUUACUGGGUGUAAAGGGAGUGUAGACGGCAAGGCAAGUCUGAAGUGAAAGCCCGGUGCUUAACGCCGGGACUGCUUUGGAAACUGUUUAGCUGGAGUGCCGGAGAGGUAAGCGGAAUUCCUAGUGUAGCGGUGAAAUGCGUAGAUAUUAGGAAGAACACCAGUGGCGAAGGCGGCUUACUGGACGGUAACUGACGUUGAGGCUCGAAAGCGUGGGGAGCAAA
rnacentral:rRNA from 1 species